GAUGAACGCUGGCGGCGUGCCUAAUACAUGCAAGUAGAACGCUGAAGGAGGAGCUUGCCCUUCUGGAUGAGUUGCGAACGGGUGAGUAACGCGUAGGUAACCUGCCUGGUAGCGGGGGAUAACUAUUGGAAACGAUAGCUAAUACCGCAUGACAACAGUUAUUGCAUGAUAACUGUUUAAAAGGGGCAACUGCUCCACUACCAGAUGGACCUGCGUUGUAUUAGCUAGUUGGUGAGGUAACGGCUCACCAAGGCGACGAUACAUAGCCGACCUGAGAGGGUGAUCGGCCACACUGGGACUGAGACACGGCCCAGACUCCUACGGGAGGCAGCAGUAGGGAAUCUUCGGCAAUGGACGGAAGUCUGACCGAGCAACGCCGCGUGAGUGAAGAAGGUUUUCGGAUCGUAAAGCUCUGUUGUAAGAGAAGAACGAGUGUGAGAGUGGAAAGUUCACACUGUGACGGUAUCUGACCAGAAAGGGACGGCUAACUACGUG
rnacentral:rRNA from 1 species